rnacentral:rRNA from 1 species
AACGAACGCUGGCGGCAUGCCUAACACAUGCAAGUCGAACGAGACCUUCGGGUCUAGUUGCGCACGGGUGCGUCACGCGUGGGAACCUUCCCUUAGGUUCGGAAUACCUCUCCGAAAGGGGUGCUAAUACCGGAUAAUGUCUUCUGACCAAAGAUUUAUCGACUUGGUAUGGGCCCGCGUUGGUUUAGCUAGUUGGUAGGGUAAGAGCCUACCACGGCGUGGAUCCUUAGCUGGUCUGAGAGGAUGGUCAGCCACACUGGGACUAGGACGCGGCCCAGACUCCUACGGGAGGCAGCAGUGGGGAAUAUAGGAAUACGGGGGGAGGGAUGAAGGAGCAAGGGCGGGUGAGUGAUGUAGGCCUUAAGGAUGUAAAGCUGUUUUAUCCGGGAUGAUAAUGACGGUACCGGGAGAAUAAGCACCGGCUAACUCCGUG